AGUAGGAUAACUGGGUCAAAUGGUGGUUCCAUUCCAAGUUUUCUAAGGAAUCCCCAUACUGCUUUCCAUAGCAUUUGAACCAAUUUGCUGUCCCACCAGCAAU
rnacentral:pre_miRNA from 1 species